rnacentral:rRNA from 1 species
UCUGGUUGAUCCUGCCAGUUAUAUGCUUGUCUCAAAGAUUAGGCCAUGCAUGUCUAAGUACACACGAAUUGAAAGUGAAACCGCAAAAGGCUCAUUAUAUCAGUUAUGGCUCCUUAGAUCGUUAACAGUUACUUGGAUAACUUGGUAAUUCUAGAGCUAAUACAUGCAAUUAAAACAUCAACCUUAUGGAACAUGUGCGUUCAUUAGGCUAAAGCCAAGCGAUUGCAAGAUCGUAAUAUUGGUUGAACUCUAGAUAACAUGCAGAUCGUAUGGUCUUGUACCGACGACAGAUCUUUCAAAUGUCUGCCCUAUCAUUUUUUGAUGGUUGUAUCUAGGACUACCAUGGUUGCAACGGGUAACGGGCAAUCAGGGUUCGAUUCCGGAGAGGGAGCCUGAGAAACGGCUACCACAUCUAAGGAAGGCAACAGGCGCGUAAAUUACCCACUCCCAGCUCGGGGAGAUACAGGACUCAUAUCUGAGGCCCUGUAAUUGGAAUGAGCACUUUAAAUCCUUUAACAAGGACCAAUUGGAGGGCAAGUCUGGUGCCAGCAGCCGCGGUAAUUCCAGCUCCAAUAGCGUAUAUUAAAGUUGUUGCGGUUAAAACGUUCGUAGUUGAACUUGUGCUUCAUGCGGGUAGUACAACUUACAAUUGUGGUAAGCGUAUUACCGGUGGAGUUCUUAUAUGUGAUUAAAUACUUGUAUUUUUUCAUAUGUUCUCCUAUUUAAAAACCUGCAUUAGUGCUCUUAAACGAGUGUUAUUGUGGGCCGGUACUAUUACUUUGAACAAAUAAGAGUGCUUAAAGCACGCUUCAAAUGCCUGAUUAUUCUGUUCAUGGGAUAAUGAAAUUAGACCUCUGUUCUGCUUUCAUUGGAUUUCAGAUCAAGAGGUAAUGAUUAAUGGAAGCAGUUUGGGGGAAUUAGUAUUACGACGCUAGAGGUGAAAUUCUUGGACCGUCGUAAGACUAACUUAAGCGAAAGCAUGUAGUGUACGUAGUUCGACAGAUUUUUAACUAGUUGGUCUUUUAAUAGUGGGUGGUAAUUACUAAUAAAGAGUUCCUUGUACUUCCUUCGCUAGGGAUGCGCACUCUUGCUAUGGUCGGGUCUAGCUCGCCGUAGGUCGUGGUUCUCUUAGCUUAGUACGAAACGCUACUACAUUUUAAUAAGUGCGUCUUACUCAAAAACAAUAUUCAAAACUGGACUAUCGAUUAAUAAAAGAAAUGGCUUUAUAUUGAUACUAAUGAUACACGCCGACACGUGUGAAGAUAAGCUACAGAUUCUGAUAAGUAUUGGGAAUUUUGGAUGUUAAUAAUUCCCUAAGUCUUUACCCUCCCUACCAUGACAAUGCUACUUAAAAUAUUUAUAUUGUCCCUUGGCCAAGUUCAAAAUAACUCUACCACAUAUUUAAGAAAGUGUUCAACAUAAGUACUCGACAAACCAUAAAAUCUAUUUAUUCACAAUUCAUUCUUUUUUAAUAUAUCUUCAAUCAUAAUUCCAUUUAUAUAAAUUCAGUUUAAUAAGCGGUUCCAUUAAAUCUCUUUUACAAACUAACAAAUUUUAACCUACGCAUAAUUAUCCUAGUCAUUCUCUAACUCUUCAUUUUCGUUUAUAUUUAGUGAGUAAAAUAAAGCAUAUAAAAGUAAAGUAUAAAGCAAACAGUCAUAAGUAAUUGAAUAUAAAAUUAGCAAAUAU